rnacentral:rRNA from 1 species
CCUACGGGCGGCUGCAGUGGGGAAUAUUGCACAAUAGGCGCAAGCCUGAUGCAGCCAUGCCGCGUGUGUGAAGAAGGCCUUCGGGUUGUAAAGCACUUUCAGCGGGGAGGAAGGCGUUAAGGUUAAUAACCUUGGCGAUUGACGUUACCCGCAGAAGAAGCACCGGCUAACUCCGUGCCAGCAGCCGCGGUAAUACGGAGGGUGCAAGCGUUAAUCGGAAUUACUGGGCGUAAAGCGCACGCAGGCGGUCUGUCAAGUCGGAUGUGAAAUCCCCGGGCUCAACCUGGGAACUGCAUUCGAAACUGGCAGGCUAGAGUCUUGUAGAGGGGGGUAGAAUUCCAGGUGUAGCGGUGAAAUGCGUAGAGAUCUGGAGGAAUACCGGUGGCGAAGGCGGCCCCCUGGACAAAGACUGACGCUCAGGUGCGAAAGCGUGGGGAGCAAACAGGAUUAGAUACCCUUGUAGUC